GGAAGGAAAAAAAAGAAAAGAAGAAGAGGAUCCGGACUAACCAUGGCUGCAGCUGACUGUGGGACGAAGCCCCUUCAAAGUGCCAUGAAAAUGGCCAAAGUAGCCAUCCAACUGGACGGAGAAAACAAACAUCAGGAAGCUUACUGUGAAUACCUCCGGACUAUCAACUUCAUAUCACAUGCACUUUUGGAGGAAGCUGGUGCACAAAAGGAUAGGGAGAUGGUGGCGGUGGAGGUGGAGCGGAUGUUGAGGCUGGCUGAGCAGUGUCUGGAGCGAACCAAGUCAUUUAUAGGAAAGAGAACUGACCCCCCUGACCUCUCUGCUUCAGUCUCCGCUUCCUCUUCCUGUUCACCUGGCCAAUCAAACCCCCAUCAGAAUGCUGCCCUCCCAGCCUCCAUUUCUGCAAACACUGUCCCUCCAUCUGAUACUCCAGUUAACACAGGACAUCAAUCAACCAGUCCAACAAAGACCAGUCACCGCAGGGUUAUGUCAGACGGUGGCGGAGAGCUCUCCCCUUUUCUGCCUCCUGAAAUCUUCCAGAGACUACAAACAGUUGAAUCACAGGACACAAGCAAGAAGGAACUGACACCCAUUGAAGAGGCAUCCCGUCUCAACCAGAAGCUGAAAGCCAAUUAUGAAGCUCGUCUGGCAAGACUCACACCUGGUCAGGCCUACCAGAAGACGUCUCUGACGCUGUCACUCCAGAGGCAGAUGAUGGAGAACCUCAUCAUAGCCAAAGCCAGGCAGGAUGCUCUCCAGCGGAAGAUGGAGGAGAGAAGACUUAGGCUUCAGGAAGAGGCCAACAGGAGAUUUGCAGCAUCUGGAGCAAUGACUGCAGAGGAGCAAGAGCAGCGUAUUCUUUAUACAACUGUGCUGGAAUACGAGCAAGAUCAUGAUUGGCCCAAACAGUGGAAAGCCAACAUGAGAAAGAGUCCUAAUGACGUCACAUUGGUGUCAGGUCUAGUUUCCUACCUCCUCAGCCGGUCUGACCACCCAGUGGUGAAGCUGCUAAGGAAACACCAGUACCGAGUUUACAACAGGCUCUACCCCCUCGUCAGCAAAGGCAUGCCCCAGAGUCCUGCCCCGUCUCUGAGGCCAUCUCACAGCACUCACAACCUCCUUCAUCCAGAGACCCAGAGGAAGCCAGCCAGGGCUGUAGGUAGUAGCAUUGGUGGCCAGAGCUUCAGCACCGGCUCUUCUCCCUCGCUCUCUCACGACCUCCACACUAACUGUGACGAUGAGGAAGGGGAGGAGCCUCACGCACAGGUGACAGUGGACCGGGAGAACUCGUUUGAAGAUCUGGAGCAGUUCCUGACCCAGUUGGACUGGGCACCACCCCAUGGCGGCACAGAUGACACUGGCUCAGAUUUAGAGCUGACCUGUGAUCCCUCGAUGCAGGCGGAACAUGAUGAGGGAAGCAUCCAGGAGCUGGAGAUGAGAGCACUGACAGACCAUUUAAAGACUAUUGUCAAAGACAUUCACAUCGCAAUUGAUCAGCUUCUGUCACUGUGUUUGCUAUCCUUUGAGUGUCUAAACACAGCCAGCUCUAAGGACCUGUGCCUCGCCAGCAUUGAAGAAGCCUUCUUCACGCCCCUCUGGAGCGCUCUGGUGGCUCUUUUCAGGAAGGUCCACAGAGAAAGAGAGCAGGCCUAUGAGACAAGUGUAAAACUGUACCAGGAUGCUUCACCUGCAGACGUUGGUGUUCCCUUGAAACUGUUCCCCCAAGACCCUGGUGCACUGCACGGUUCCUACCCCUAUGAGUCUGCUGCUCAGGAGCUUAAGCUUCUCAUUACGGACUGCUGUCCACAGAGGAAGCUGGAAUGUCUUGUGAGGACGUUACGGCUGAUCUGUGCCUGUGCUGAGGAUUACAGGUGUCUUCAUGAGGUGGACUCUACACCCAAAACAGCCGCCAUCGGUGCAGAUGACCUGUUGCCCAUUCUGUCCUUUGUGGCUCUGCGGUGCCAGUGUCCUCAGCUGGUGUCUGAAUGCGCUGCUUUGGAGGAGUUCAUUCAUGAAGGCUAUUUAAUAGGCGAGGAAGGCUACUGUCUGACCUCCAUGCAGAGUGCCUUAGUCUACAUUGAGUCACUACAUACAGGAAGAGCUCACCUUCCUGCAGACUAGCUCAUUUGACACAGUGUGUCAGAGUGCAGACGCACUGGUCUUGUUCAUUUUGUACAGAGAGCAGGAGUUCUGGAUAUGUGGUGCACGAUGGAUACGGCAUGUCGAGUUGAUGAACAGAGGAUGCAUUUAGGAGCAGCACUGGGUGUAGGUGAGCCACAUUUUGGCUGCUGCAGAAACAAGAGACCCUCCCGAUGGUUCAUCCCACAUUUUGUGCUGCAUUACAGUUGAACCUUCAGCUCUUUGCAGGUUGUGCAGAUGCAUGUUGUCUUAUACACAUGCACACUUGUACAGACUUUAUAUGUCAGAGACAAACUUCCGUUUGUUCUGUUUCCAACAGAUGGAAUAAACCAGUGCCUAUGAGUUGUUUCUAACCAAAUCUCCUGCGUGGAGCCAAACUGGGCUCUGCUGGGACCUGAAAGGGUGUGUUCUUUUGCUGCUUAACUAGCACUGGGUUUUUAAAGGGACUAUUGUGUUUGGGUUGUUUGGAUUGGAGCUGUGUUAGGGAUCCUUUGGAAGUGAUGCCAUAUUGAUUCAUUAUGACUAUAUGAAUACCUACAGGAAAAACCUGCAAUAUGGUUCACAAAUGAGGGGUUGUGUUUGUAAGCCAUACUGCAGGUUCAUGUUGAUUUUUUUUUUUUCCUCUUUUAAUCCAUGUACUCUGUGGCAGCACACAAACUCAUAAAUUAGACAGCGUGUUUGUGCGUUUGUUUUGUUUGAUUUUAAGACUGGUGGCAAAAUCCGUGCACAGACUGUGAAUUAAAAAAAUAGGGAUUUAUGCACUUUGGGUGUUGAAGCCUUCCAGCAUGGGGCUACACUGAAUGAUGGGCUUGUGUUCAGACAGUACAUCUAUUUGCAGUCAGACUAGCCUACAGGUCGGAGACCGCGUUUUUUUAGAGAUGCCGUACAACUGGGACAAUGAGACACUGGAAGAGGAGUGCAGAAAUAACUGCUGUGGGCUGAAAAUUCCAGUUUGUGGCAUCUGUUGACAGUCACUGUGUUUGCAUGUUACAACAUAUUGGUUAACAUUUAAGGCAGGUGUACAGGAAUAUGGUUAGGUAGUGCUUACUGUGGGUAGUAAUACUGUUGCACUUUGUUAGUGGGUCCACUUUUAAAGUGUGUGUGUGUGUGUGUGUGUGUGUGUGUGUGUGUGUGUGUGUGUGUGUGUGUGUGUGUGUGUGUGUGUGUGUGUUGCUUGUAAGACAAUGUAGCAAUGCAGCCAGGCCACAGGGACUGCACAUACAUGUGACCAUCUUCUGGCCAUUUUUAUUUGUGAUGUUGUGUUCAAUAUGCAACAGUUAGUAAAUUUGUUUUUGCUUCUUUGACUGAAUGCAUACACUUCUUCAGCUUAUAUUCAUCUAUAACACCAAGGUUCAAAACCAACAGGCUCUCCAAAGGAAAACUAAAAGAAGCUCAUUUCCAGUGGUAGAUCUUGUGGCACUUAAAAAAUAUUAGCUAUAAAGUGUGAAGGGAUCGUAUCGUGUUGGUUUGACAUGACUGGACAGUGUUCUUUAAGGAUAUUUGACAUUUUUUAAAUGAAGUCCUUCAAGCAUGUAGACACCAGAAUGGAUGUUUACCUGAAAGUGUUUUUUUUUGUUUGUUUUGUUUUGUUUUUUUGAGGUUAUGAGGAAAUCAUGUUUACUUGAGUGACCCUUUUCUGAAGAACUUUUUGUGCUUUUAAGUUUUUAGCUUGUGUUCAUCCUUUCCGGGCCGCCACUGGUUUCCAUUGAUUUACCACAGUGGACAAAUCAACUUUCAAAUUCUAGAAAUUUGCGUUGGUCUUUGUUGGUGUCCAAGUUGUGCUGUGGUUGCCCUAAUGCAGUUUAAACAUCAAAAUGAAUUUAAGUUCAUGCUGUUGUGGCACCUUGUUGUGCUGAUAUUAAAGUCUAACACCUGACAACUGCUGCAAGCUAACAACUGUAAGACUGUGUUGUUGGAC